UCGCCAGGCCCUGGAUUGGGUCCUACACAAGGCAGGUCAUCUUAUUCCUGCUUUAUAGAUGAGCAGUCCCAAAAGCAGCCCUGGGGAGUAGGGCUCGGCAGCCUGACUUUAGGCCCAUAUCUUUCCAUUGCCUGAAGACUUAUUGGAGGCCUGUGUGAUCAUUUCACUAGUAAUGUGUAUCUCUCAUCUCUGAGCUUUUCCCUAUGUCUGUCAACUUUGAGUCUCUCAGCCUUGGUCUCACUAUGAGUGGCAGUCUGCCUGUGUGCAGGCGUAUCUGGGACUUUCUCAGAGAUACUGAUACAAGAUCUGUUUUCCUGGGUCUCAACUUUCCUGUUCUGAACCUCACUCCUUGGUUGGUCUGUGUGACUCUGCUUACUUGUGACACAGAGGGAAUGAGUUCAAGACACAGGGAGAAACACUGGGAGAGAUGGUACAGUACAAAACAGUAUGGCAGGUCAAAUGGCUAACAUGUGAAUGUGAUAGGGUCAUUAGAGUGAGGAAGACUGACACCC